UAGAGAUACUGAAAUCCGUUUGCUGAAAGAAGCUGAGACUAAUGUUUACAGACUCUAGCAAUCAUAGAUGGGCUCUAAGUUUUGACAAUGUUGCCUAUUUGGCUCAUACUUGCAAUUACUGUGCCUGUGGUGGUUGUCAUUGCACUUCUGGGAUGCCUUCAAUGUUUGAAGGGGAAACCUGCUUUUAAGCACUUCCACAACAAUGAGGAAUAUACGACAGAAGCCAGAAGUAACCCAGGCUAUUCUGCCGACGUUGACAGCUCAGAACACAGUACAUCCAACUCGACGGAAAUACAAAUUGACCCACUGCCCGAUAUCCUUACACAGGCUUCGUCAAGGAAACCAAGGAUAGGCUGUGUGGAGAAAAGCAAGCAGGACGCAACUCUCAAAUUGAUUGCAACGAAUCGGCCUUUUCCUCGCCGACAGCUGACAUACCUGAAAGAAAUAGGAUCAGGAUGGUUUGGCCAGAUUAUAGAGUCGGAUGCAGAGCACAUAACAUCAGGGAUAGCUCGAAGUCGUGUUGUCGUCAAAAUGAUGAAGGAUGAUGCAUCAAAGUCAGAACAGAAAAUAUUUCACGAAGAUGUUGCACCUUUUAGAGAGUUGGAUCAUAUUAAUGUUCUGCGAUUGUUGGGCCAGUGCACCGAAACAAACCCAAUUCUCGUCAUUUUGGAGCAUGCUCAAAUGGGUGACCUCAAGACCUACUUGAAGAAGCAGAAACUGGACCAAAGCAACUUACAGCAUCCCCGACUUCUUAAAUUUGCCAUCGAUGCUGCAAGUGGAUUGGCUUGUCUGCAUCGCCAUGGUUACAUACACCAUGAUUUUGCAGCAAGAUCUUGUCUUGUAUUUGCUGACCUCACAGUCAAAGUUGGGGACUUCGGAAUCACAGAGGAACUCUUUCCGGAAGACUACUACUCAAGUCGCAAGGAACUUCUCCCUGUGCGCUGGAUGGCUCCCGAGUCACUGAGUCACCAGGCAGAUGGCUGGCAGACGGCUGUCAUCACUAAAGAAGCUAACAUCUGGUCGUUUGGUGUUUUACUGUGGGAGGUCCUGACGUUUGCCUCUCAGCCGUACACUGACUUGACGGACGAGUUGGUUCUACAGCUGGUGGUGGAGGACAAGGUCAUCAAGCUGAACAAACCGGACCUCGAGAUCGCUUUUAUAAAUAGGCUAUACGAAGUUAUGCAGUUUUGCUGGUUGAACCCCGGCCAACGACCGACAGUGACUGAGGCCCAUGCUCUGUUGGAACACCUUUUCACCAAGCUAGCCACUCCGCAGUCAGUGGACUCUGUGUUUGAGGACAAGUGGAACAGCAUCAUACCGUCUGAAGCAAGGGUUGUCACAGUUACCGAUGGUCGGGCCAAAUCUCGUCAGACCAGAACCGACAGCUUUGACACAGACUUUGUUCUUGCUAAAGACAAUGUGAUUGUGUCCGUGGAAAGCACUGAUGUUCCUCAAGGGAAGAAACCCGACUUCCGGUCAUUGCUACAGGAUGUAUCACGAAUUUCUGCACCAGAAAGUCAGGACGUUGAUAUUGAAACACUGUCUGUCAGUGUGGUGAAUGGACAGCAUGUAGCCGUUGAUAUGCCGUUGUCAGAUUUUGAUCAGAUUGCCUUGCCUUCCAAAACUCUGCUGCCUGAACAUUUGACUAGCACACCAGUAGAAAAGCCACCACCGAGAAAAUCCCAACAACCGAAAAUACCUCACAAUGAUGCUUCCGGUUUGAACAAAGUGAAGUCACUUAACUUUGACGCGUCUGAAAGUAGCUUGAUGACAGACUCAAAACGAAAAUCGCCUGAUCCCGAAAGUGAGACGGGUACCACUGAGAAUACUCAGUAUCAUACUGCUACCAGUUUGGUAGACAUCUCAAGUUCUACACAGUAUGCAGAUAGCGACUUCGGUGAAAUGGUGGGUGUGGAAAACAUGACAGAUUCGUUUCCCCAGCAGGAGAGCACCCUGUUGAUUGAUGAUCGAGUGGUGUCCCACCAGAAUACGUCUGCUAAGUCUGAGGACUUUAGAGCAGACACCAGUAUAGAGGACUCAUUUGUUAGUGUUCCAAACACUCUUAAUAUAACAAAUGCUGACUCAUCUCCAGAAUCGGAGCAGUCAACUCCAGAAAUUUUAGUUCCUGCUGAUGAAACAUCCGUGGUUUCGAAAGAAUCGACAAUAUCUGAACACCUUUCAGGCUUUGAAAGUAACUCAGAGAUAAAAUCAGUGGAUGAAGUUGAUGAUAAAAUACUCAGUGCUGAAGACACUGUAAAGUCUGAACCCACUGCUAAAGACAUUCCCAGUGCUCUCGAGCAUAAUGAUGCAUUUGGAGAUUUCGUUUUUGAACCACCCAUUGAUAACAAAGCAAACAUGACAUCAGAAGAGCAGCUUCCCCCAGUAGUUUCCAAUGGUGGUGGUCAGGAUGCUAGUGUAACAGAGAGAAAUGUUUUAGUUUUGUCUGCUACACCUGAACCUAGCUUAAUCGAUUCAAGAGCUGAAAAUGUCAAUUCAUCUGUUAGCAUGUCUGAUGAACUGAAAGUGGACUCACUGACUGAUAGUGAUCCCAUGGCAAGCAUGGAAGGUUCUGAAGACGAGCCCAUGGUCAAAGGAGCUGUGCUGUCUCCUGAUGUGAAGGUAGGUACUUGUGUUGAUUAUGUUAGUGAGGAUGAGGAUGAGGAGGAAAGUAGGUCUCCUUCCUUGUCUGAUUCCGAGGACGAUUCUUCUUCUUCAUCUUCAUCUUCAUCAGACAGCGGCAAGUCUUAUAUCUGUGAUAAUGAGGAUCAUCUCAGUUCUGAGCUUGUGAAUGGAGAUGUGUGUGUUAGUAGUGAUACAUCUUGUCAUGAGGAUGCUGAUCGCGAUGAUGAUGAUAAUGAUUACGACGACGACGAUGAUGAUGAUUUUCACGAGGACAAACCUGAUGACGGAGACCUUGAACUUGUCAGUGAGAUGUACCUCUCAAAAGGCGUCGUGUCUCCACAGGCCUUUGAGCGAUCACUCCUACCCCUGGAAACCAUUCCUGAAGACGUGCAGACGGUGUCGGACACCAGCUCUAUGGAGACCAAGUUCGACGACGUGUUCUCGGCACAGGACAAUUUUGAGUGGGAUGACUUUAUGGGCGAAGAGCUCGUGGGGAAAGACAGACUAUGUGACAGCUCCCCAAAAGCCAGUCUGGACAUGUCUGACUGGCGGCUUGAUUCAUCCAGCUUGCAUAGCAACUCCAGUCUGAGGAAGCUGUCGGAAGACCGGAGAGGCUACAUGGGGUCGGAUCCCGGGAGCUCGAGCACCGUGGACAGUAUGCAAUCCUCGCUGUCUGACAUGGAGGUAAAGAAUCGUAGGUUACGGACCAAGCGGCCGUACGUGGCCGAACUGCUGACUAAUCGCUAUUCCAUACCCUCGUAUACUCACGUUAGUGGCGACUCAAACCAGUUUUACUCACUCCUUGAAGGUUUAGACAUAGAUAACGACUCACCUCCCAGUGAUGGUAACGGUGGGGUGUCGGUCCCUUCGGGUGUCACAGUUACACAGCCACCCGACCUCACUUCCUCCAGUCCUGUGCAUGACAAUGUUACGGAUAUAUUUACGGGAUGACAUAUAUUGGACUAACAGCAAGGUAUAAUCUAAUGAAUCUAAUAGUUUUGGACCCAACUAACAGAGUCCAGAGUUUUCCGGUGUUCCCAAUGUUAAGCCGAUUGUCCAGAAAGACGACCUUUCAGCCCUGGCGGAUUUUCCACAAACACUGAGGAGAGUGGUGAAUUUGGAGUUGUCUGAGCAAACAGGCCAGAGUGUCG
rnacentral:misc_RNA from 1 species